UAUGUUUGUGUUCAAGUAAGAGAAGAAACAGUACUACUCAGAAUAUGCCAGCUACUGUUGUUGGGGAAUCCCUGGACAGCAGCUACACAGUAUCAGUGAUUCUGAAGGGAACAAAGAAUGGAGAGCAUUUUUCCUCUGAGCAUCUCUGUGAUGAUCCUGUGGCUUCAACUGGACUGCGUGACCUGCCAGCAGAAGGUAGAGCAGGCACUUCCAUUCCUGAGCAUCCAAGAAGGAAAGAGUGCCACUCUUGACUGCAAUUACACGGACAGUAUUGCUGAUUACUUUUUGUGGUAUCAGCAGUAUCCUGGAGAAGGCCCUGUUUUGCGGAUAGCAGCCUAUUUAAAAAGUGAUGUAAAGGAAGGACGAUUCACAAUCAGUAUUAACAAAGGGGCCAAACAAUUCUCUCUUCACAUCUCAGCCUCCCAGCCUAUAGACUCAGGCAUCUACUUCUGUGCAGUAAGAGCACAGUGCUUCUUGGGCACCUGCAGUCAGUGCACAAACCCUGCAGCUGGGUUACACUCUCAGUUUUCCAUCAGGCAAGGAACACAAAGUUGAGAACGUAACUAAAUAAAAUUUACUAAAUAAAAAGUUCUGAUUGUAAAGGGAAAUAAUUAAAAAGAACUCUGAAGGUGCCAUAUGAGUUUAAAAAUGGCUUAAGGACAUUCAGGUGCUUUGAAGAAUGGUUACUUAAGGGGAACAAGCCAACAUAAUAUUAUACAUCCAGAACUGGAAGGGAAUUUAGAAUUUAUCCAUGCCAACCACACCACUAUAUAGAUGAGCAAACUGAGUGAUUUAUCCAAGGUCAUAGAAUCACAGAGGUAGGAUUUAGACUUAGGUUUUAUGGUUUCAAGUUUUGGGCUUUUCCCAUUAAUCUGUGUUGUCUUUCUAUGACCUAAUCAAAUCUUUCAAUUUUGAGAAUGAAGUCAUGAUGUCAAUUAUUUUCCUCCUUCUACAAACUAUUCCUUGGUACUAUAAGAUAAGUUUACAUACUGACCUGUAUAGAGACUGUUCCUUCCCCCUUACAAUGGGAAACAAAGGAAAGGAUGCUCCUGAGAGGAAGGUGAAAGGUGUGGUGUGAGAAAGCUCAAGGAGGGAAGAGAAAUAUCUAUUGUGGGGAUUGCAAAACAGAUUCAUUUAGAGAAAAAUAAAAGGAUUGCCUUGUGGUAAUCAAGGCCCAGAUGAUAUUAGAUAGCACAAAUUUGCAGUGGACCCAGUCAGCACAGUUGUAUGACUUCUAGCAACUAUUAAUAGCACUUUCAGCAGUUCAUGAAGUGGAGAGUAGAGUAGAAGGUUGGGAAAAUACAAGUACUAUAAGAUGUAAA